GGCAAUGGAUAGCAAUCUGGCACAGUGACAGCAUUUACCUUUCGGUAAUCUGUGCAAAAACGGAAAGUUCCACGAGGCUUUGAUACGAAGAGACAUGGGGAACUCCACGGACUACAGCUAUGCUUAGCCAAAUGAUUCUCCAACAAUUGCUUUGGGGCAUUGUGCAAUACCAGACCGUCCUCGUCAGCACCAAGGUCACCAGUGGAGGGGGGUGUAUCCUCACAGGUUACUGAUUUGUCAGUGUAUGGACCAGAAAAAUGGGCAGACAGUGCAGAACCAGGGAAGGGCAACAGAACCAGGACGUCAUCACCAGGGGACCGACACAAUCAACAAUAACGUGUUCGAAUGGCUCACCAAUCACAGGAAUGGGCAAUAGUGGCGCAGGUGGAAUCACCUGAUUAGGCUUUCCCAUCAAUUGACAUGUUUGGCAUGUCCGGCAGAUUUCGGCUACAUCUUUCUUGAGACCGGGCCAAAGAGAAUAUGGUUGUUAGUUUUCAUUACUCCCAGAUGA